rnacentral:rRNA from 1 species
GUCCCCGCACAAGCAGCGGAGCGUGUGGUUUAAUUCGAUGCUACACGAAGAACCUUACCUGGGUUUGACAUAGAGGUAGUAGGGAAGCGAAAGCGGACCGACCCUUCGGGGAGCCUCUACAGGUGUUGCAUGGCUGUCGUCAGCUCGUGUCGUGAGAUGUUCGGUUAAGUCCGCUAACGAGCGCAACCCUCGCUGUGUGUUACAAGUGUCACACGGUACUGCCGAUAUUAAGUCGGAGGAAGGUGGGGAUGACGUCAAGUCAGCAUGACCUUUAUAUCCAGGGCUACACACACGCUACAAUGGCCAGUACAAUGGGUUGCCAAGCCGCGAGGCGGAGCCAAUCCUAAAAAGCUGGCCUCAGUUCAGAUUGCAGUCUGCAACUCGACUGCAUGAAGUUGGAGUUGCUAGUAACCGCAGGUCAGCAAUACUGCGGUGAAUACGUUCCCGGGGAUU